UUAAUUGAAACCAAAAUAGAGGUAAAUCAUUGUUAAUGAUUAAACUGGAAAUAUUAAACCCAAUUAAA
rnacentral:tRNA from 1 species